GCCAGGCAUGGUGGUGCAUGCCUGUAAUCCCAGCAGCUCAGGAGGCUGAGACAGAAGGUUUAUGAGUUGAAAGCCAGCCUCAGCAGAGGCAAGGUGCUAAGCAGCUCAGUGGGACCUUGUCUCUA
rnacentral:sRNA from 1 species